rnacentral:rRNA from 1 species
UACGUAGGGUGCGAGCGUUAAUCGGAAUUACUGGGCGUAAAGCGUGCGCAGGCGGCUUUGUAAGCCAGGUGUGAAAUCCCCGGGCUUAACCUGGGAAUGGCAUUUGGGACUGCAAGGCUUGAGUGCGGCAGAGGAGACUGGAAUUCCUGGUGUAGCAGUGAAAUGCGUAGAUAUCAGGAGGAACACCUGCGGUGUAGACGGCUUACUGGACGGUAACUGACGCUGAGGCACGAAAGCGUGGGUAGCAAACAGG